rnacentral:rRNA from 1 species
CGCGCGCAGGCGGCUUCUUAAGUCUGAUGUGAAAGCCCACGGCUCAACCGUGGAGGGUCAUUGGAAACUGGGGAGCUUGAGUGCAGAAGAGGAGAGUGGAAUUCCACGUGUAGCGGUGAAAUGCGUAGAGAUGUGGAGGAACACCAGUGGCGAAAGCGGCUCUCUGGUCUGUAACUGACGCUGAGGCGCGAAAGCGUGGGGAGCAAACAGGAUUAGAUACCCUGGUAGUCCACGCCGUAAACGAUGAGUGCUAGGUGUUGGAGGGGCCACCCUUCAGUGCUGACGUUAACACAUUAAGCACUCCGCCUGGGGAGUACGGCCGCAAGGCUGAAACUCAAAGGAAUUGACGGGGGCCCGCACAAGCAGUGGAGCAUGUGGUUUAAUUCGAAGCAACGCGAAGAACCUUACCAGGUCUUGACAUCCUCUGACCACCCUAGAGAUAGGGCUUUCCCCUUCGGGGGACAGAGUGACAGGUGGUGCAUGGUUGUCGUCAGCUCGUGUCGUGAGAUGUUGGGUUAAGUCCCGCAACGAGCGCAACCCUUGAUCUUAGUUGCCAGCAUUCAGUUGGGCACUCUAAGGUGACUGCCGGUGACAAACCGGAGGAAGGUGGGGAUGACGUC